CCUACGGGAGGCAGCAGUAAGGAAUCUUCCACAAUGGACGAAAGUCUGAUGGAGCAACGCCGCGUGCAGGAUGAAGGCUUUCGGGUCGUAAACUGCUUUUAUAUGGGAAGAUUAUGACGGUACCAUAUGAAUAAGGACCGGCUAACUACGUGCCAGCAGCCGCGGUAAUACGUAGGGUCCAAGCGAUAUCCGGAAUUACUGGGCGUAAAGCGUGUGUAGGUGGAUUAAUAAGUGUGAUGCGAAAUCCGGCGGCUCAACCGUUUGGACUGUGUCGCAUACUGUUAGUCUAGAGGACGGCAGAGGUAAGUGGAAUUACGGGUGUAGCAGUGAAAUGCGUAGAUAUCCGUAGGAACACCAAUGGCGAAGGCAGCUUACUGGGCCACACCUGACACUGAGACACGAAAGCGUGGGGAGCGAACAGGAUUAGAUACCCUGGUAGUCCACGCCGUAAACGAUGCAUACUAUUAGUAUGGGGUAUCGACCCCCUGUGCUGAGAAGCUAACGCGAUAAGUAUGCCGCCUGGGGAGUACGAGCGCAAGCUUAAAACUUAAAGAGAAUGACGNGNGAGAGCGACGACGACGACGACGAGGGAGGAGG
rnacentral:rRNA from 1 species